GCUCCGGUGGCUUAUUGGUUAGAGCUUCCGUUUUGGAUGGGGAAGGUCGCUGGUUUGAACCUCGGCUGAGUCGUACCA